rnacentral:snRNA from 1 species
ACACUACAGCGUACACUGUU